CAGGAAACACUGGGUUCCCUUUGCAGGUUCUCAGUUUCAUAGACGAGAUAAUUAAAAAUGGAUACAGAAAAGAACUCACCAGUUAUUAUGCCUAAGGAAAACAAACAGCCAGACAGUGGAGGUUGGGAUCCUUGAAGCUGCAUGGAGCACAGAGCCAGAAGGAGCUAAGCCUGCAGGCUCAGCAAGGAGACCUUACACCUGUGGGGGCUUUGGGUUUAAGUACUGUCAUCCGUACAGGGAUAGUGCUUCCAUUUUAAAAUGUUUAUCUUCAAGUGUGGUAGCAUAAUGAACAGGCAUUCAAUGCCAUCCACAGCUGUCCAGUGAGUGUGGGGAUACAAAAGACUGUCCCAAAGCAAAAAGGAAAGCUGGGUGCAGUGUCGCACACCCAGCACUCAGGAAGCAGAGGCGGGUAGAUCUCUGUGAAUUUGAGGGCAGCCUGGUCUACAAAGUGAGACCCUGUCUCAAAAAACAAAAUGAUGAUGAUGAUGGUGAUGAUAGUCAUUCCUGACCCCACACUGGCUUCCUGCUUGUGUUUACUCCAUUCCUGUCAGUGGUGGUAUGGGAUUGAAGAUUUAGCUUCACUUUAGCUAUCAACUGUGGCAGCCAUUUUCUCCCCUUUAUAGAGCUCCCCUCCCUUACAGGGACCUCAAACCCAAUUAUAAUCAUCACAGCAGGAAAGAAUUUUGGACAAGGCCAGCAUGAAGCAGAGAUAGAGUUUAUUUCAUUUGAAACCUGGCGUCAUGUAGCCCAGGCUGUCCUCAACCUUGCUAUGUAUCAGAGUUUAACCUUGACUUUCUGAUCCUCCUGGCUCUCCCUCUCAAGUGCUAGGAUGACAAGCAUAUACCAUCAUGCCUGCUUUUAUGGGGUGUAGAGUUCAGACCCAGGACGUUGCACUUUCUAGGUUAGCACUCUACCACCUGAGCUAUAGCCGCAGCAUCACAGCUCGGAUUUAGUUUGUUUAGCUGUUGAGACAGGGUCUCACUGUGUGUCCCUGGCUGGUCUGGGACUCACAGAAAUGACCUGUUUCUGCUUCCUGCAUGCUAGGAAUAAAGGUGCUUGCUGCCAUUCCUUACAGAGUUUAUUAAAUAGCACAGAUAGAUAGAUAGAUAGAUAGAUAGGUAAAUAGAUAGAGAUAGAUAAGAUAUAGAUAUGUUUUUCUGAGCCCUGGCUGUCCUGGAACUAGUUCUGGAGGUAGUGGCAGCAGAUAGACUCUGGAGGUGGAGUUCCAGGCAGUUGGGAGUUGCUUGACACGGGGGAUGUUGGACUCCUGGCUGCAGGUGGAGUAUGUGAGCCAUUUCCCCAGACUCUUUAUAAAACAUUAUUUAAACAUACUUAAGAGCAGAGGUUAAUAGAGAGGUGCUUAGGACAAAGGGUCGAGUCCAGCUGGCUUAACAAUACUUACAUGUAGGAUUCUGGUUGUUUCGAAAGUUGUUAUUUACAAAGUUUGCUAAGAAAUGUAAAUGAAAUCUCAGGAUGGACAAAGGUAUGCCAGACAGGAUUGUACUUGACACAGGGAAGCAAUAGGAUGCCUCACUGUGAAUUAGUUAAUAAUGUUUUUAAAUUGGCUGUGUAUAUAUGUGUGUGUGUGUCUAUCUAUCUAUCUAUCUAUCUAUAUCUGCACAUGCAUGAGGAGGUCAGAGGUCAAUUAAAGGAGUUAAUUCUAUAUUUCUA
rnacentral:lncRNA from 1 species